GCCUCGGUGGUGUAGUGGUCAAGACGCUCGUCUGAUAAACAGGAGGUAAGGAAGGCGUGGGUUCCAUCCCAGCUGAGGCC
rnacentral:tRNA from 1 species